UCCGAAAAAAACACCAUGUCCGUGAUCUGGUUAACGCCCCCACCACACCACGCAUUUGCCCUGGCCCGCCGUCCUCUCCGUGGUGUCCGCGCCGGCUCGCCCCGGUAGCCGCGCACGCGUAGCAACUUCCGCCUCCACCGCGAGGUACCAACCGCCAUGGCGCCCCUGCCCCCAUGCCGCCCGGCCUCCCUCGCCGGCGCCCCCACCUAGUGCGGCCUCAUGUGCCCCCACAUCACACCCAGCGCCGCUUUCCCAUGUCGUGUUUCCUGAUUGGAGAGGUCAAGGUGGAUUGUAGCGGCGGUGCGGUCGAUUGUGGCGGCUAUGCGGUGAAGGAGAGGGGAGAUCCAAAUGCGGUCCAUGUAAGGAAGCAGAGGAGGAACGCGCAUUCUUCAACCUCUGUUGUCAUCUUCAAGAUGCCACGCCGGCGGCCGGCCGAAGCAUCUGCUUUGUUCGUGUGUCCUUCCUCCAGGCGGCCAAAGAGGUUCUUCUUCCCCUUCCCGGAUCUGUCUCCGUCGCAGAAGCUCUUCCCACGGAGGCGAUACCAGGAGGAGAGGAGCCGUUCUGGAUAUGAGGAGGACGCACGUGUCGGCCGUGCCAUUGGGCGGAGGUAAGACCACUCCUGCAGCUUGUCGUCGCAGAAGAGCACGUCCACGAGAUUGUCAAUGAACCCAUCCACAAAGGAGUUGCAGCGAGUGCCAGCAUCUGGCUUAUCGUGCCAUGUGCUGGAGACCCAUGGCCUCUCCCCGCAGCUGCUUCUGCAGGCUGCCGCUGGCACUGUACGAGUAAGACCAGAGCAUGGAGAGACACGUGGCGGCAUGGGGUUGUAGCACGACCUUGUCACGCCUCGGCUACUUCUGAUGCCGCUGAUCGCUCUCGCCGCGGCCACCACAGUUGAACUCACUGAUGGAUAUCACGGGAGACUUUGAUGAGGUGGAAGCUGUUGGGUUCUUGGUGUAAAUAAACAGUGAAUACUGAACGCCAAUGCCCCUCUGAUAACCAUAUUUAUCGAGGAGUAUGUUCAUGUGAUCCAGUAUGGUAUCAUCGACCCUGUGAGAGUGAUCCAAACUGCACUUCAAGAUGCAGCAAGGUACAACUUCAGUUUUCUAACCAUGUACUUUUUGUAUGACAGAAGUAAUCAGACUUAUUUGACCAUUUCUGUUUCUGUACAAUGUUUAUCUGCUGAUCACAACCAUGGAGGCUGUAGAUGAGCGAAAUGGGUUUUGAGGACAGUGCGGCAUGAUGUCUGCACUUACAAAAAAAGUUGCAUACAACAGAAGGCGUGCCUCCUAUGACCAGGUCUAAGAAAUACAAGCAUAGUUCAAAGUAAACUGACCAGAAAACUAAGAUUAUCUAUAAAUAAGGGUAGAGCCAUGGAUUACAUGAUUUCUUUUCAAAACACAACAUAAGAUGUAACUGCGCAAACUGCUUAUGCAAUAUAUUCAGGUUGGUGGAAGUCUUGAACUUCAUAUUCAUAUUAACCUAUCUAUUUGUUUACUGAUGGUAACUAUUUCAUCUGAUGGUACUGCUAUUGUGUGACACAAAAUCUGAUGAUGGCAAGAAGCAUAAUUUUGCAAACAUGUAUCUCAGUAGUGUAUACUAUCAAGGUGGCAUUGGGUUUGCAUAGGUGAGGGAGCCUGCUUGAACUUGGUGCACAUUUAUGUCACUAUUAUCUUUUAGUAUAUUUCAUUAGCAGGUGAGGGAGCCUGCUGAAACUUCAUUUUAUUUUGUCUUCUGAAGCUGGCAAAUAACUCGCCAUUGUGUACGAUUGAACCUUGAAACUGAUUAGGUUCUGUAUCAUAAACAAUGUAGUUGACUCUACUUUUGUUGAGUAAUCAUGGAUUAAAGCAUCAACAUAUGUAUUUAUUUAACUUAAUGUUUGUUUGUCCCCCCUUUUCUACCCAUUCUUACAGGUGUGUUGCCAUCGAAGGCGAAGACUAGAUGUCAUGCUCUUGUGUCUGAACAAUCUGUAGUCGGCAGCUGAUGACCCACAAGUGUAUGGGAUCAAUUGUAGUCUUUUCAAUAAGAGUGUCGAACCCAACGAGGGGCAGAAGUAAAGGAUAAGUGGUUUUCAGCAAGGUAAUGUCUGCAAGCACUGAAAUUGUAAGUAGCAAGUAGUUUGAUAGCAAGAUAUUUUGUAACGAGCAAGUAACGAUAAUAGUGACAAAAGUGCAGCAAGGUAGCCCAGUCCUUUUGAGGCAAA